rnacentral:rRNA from 1 species
ACACUCCUGCGGGAGGCAGCAGUGGGGAAUUUUACGCAAUGGGGGAAACCCUGACGUAGCGACACCGCGUGAGCGAAGAAGCCCUUUGGGGUGUAAAGCUCUGUCAGCUGGAACGAAAACAAUGACGGUACCAGCAGAGGAAGCAUCGGCUAACUACGUGCCAGCAGCCGCGGUAAGACGUAGGAUGCGAGCGUUGUCCGGAUUUAUUGGGCGUAAAGAGUUCGUAGGUGGUUUGUUAAGUUUGGUGUUAAAGAUCGGGGCUCAACCCUGGGACUGCACUGAAUACUGGCAGACUCGAGUGUGGUAGAGGCUAGUGGAAUUCCCAGUGUAGCGGUGAAAUGCGUAGAUAUUGGGAAUAACACCGGUGGCGUAGGCGACUAGCUGGGCCAUAACUGACGCUGAGGAACGAAAGCCAGGGGAGCGAAUGGGAUUAGAUACCCUGGUAGUCCCAUGA